UACGGAGGGGGCUAGCGUUGUUCGGAAUUACUGGGCGUAAAGCGCACGCAGGCGGCUUUGUAAGUUAGAGGUGAAAGCCCGGGGCUCAACUCCGGAAUUGCCUUUAAGACUGCAUCGCUAGAACGUCGGAGAGGUAAGUGGAAUUCCGAGUGUAGAGGUGAAAUUCGUAGAUAUUCGGAAGAACACCAGUGGCGAAGGCGACUUACUGGACGACCGUUGACGCUGAGGUGCGAAAGCGUGGGGAGCGAACAGG
rnacentral:rRNA from 1 species